GUUCUCGUUUAACACAAGGUCUACUAAGAUCCAGCAAACCUUUGAUCGAAAGCAUUUUAGACAUAACAUUCAACUCAUAUCUUUAGCAAUAGCGUGCCCCAGAUCAUAUCUUGGAGCGUAGGAUGUGAAAAUUGAAAUGAAGGGUGAACAUAGUGCUGUGUUGAAUAAAUAUAAUAAAGUUUUUAAUUUUUAAACUUGUCCAACACGGCUUCGGGCUCACUGUCACAUCGGUGCGCGCAGCCCGGCUCCUCCUUGCGUGGGGUUGGUUGUCGCACCGCGACGCGCGGUAGGCGUUCGGCCGGCGGCGAACGGUCGACUUGGAACUGGUACGGACCAGGGGAAUCCGACGGUCUAAUUAAAACAGAGCAUCGCGUAGCCGGCCCAGCUGCACAGACGCGAUGAUUUCCGCCCAGUGCUCUGAAUGUCAACGUGAAGAAAUUCGACCAAGCGCGGGUAAACGGCGGGAGUAACUAUGACUCUCUCUCGUGGAGCCUGGUGCGUUAUGGCCUGCUGUCUUUUCUGUUGGUGAGUGCACCACCAGGUUUGUCUGGUAUGUUAUAACCUGCCGGACUCAGUGGGUGGAUGCACCACCGUGACGCCC
rnacentral:ncRNA from 1 species